rnacentral:rRNA from 1 species
AUACGUAGGAGGCUAGCGUUGUCCGGAUUUACUGGGCGUAAAGGGUGCGUAGGCGGUCUGUUAAGUCUCAUGUGAAAUCUCCCGGCUCAACUGGGAGGGGUCAUGGGAUACUGGCAGGCUUGAGGGCAGUAGAGGAGAGCGGAAUUCCGGGAGUAGCGGUGAUAUGCGUAGAUACCCGGAGGAACACCAGAGGCGAAAGCGGCUCUCUGGGCUGUCCCUGACGCUGAGGCACGAAAGCGUGGGGAGCAAACCGGAUUAGAAACCCCAGUAGUCC